CGAACGGUAACAGGAAGAAGCUUGCUUCUUUGCUGACGAGUGGCGGACGGGUGAGUAAUGUCUGGGAAACUGCCUGAUGGAGGGGGAUAACUACUGGAAACGGUAGCUAAUACCGCAUAACGUCGCAAGACCAAAGAGGGGGACCUUCGGGCCUCUUGCCAUCGGAUGUGCCCAGAUGGGAUUAGCUAGUAGGUGGGGUAACGGCUCACCUAGGCGACGAUCCCUAGCUGGUCUGAGAGGAUGACCAGCCACACUGGAACUGAGACACGGUCCAGACUCCUACGGGAGGCAGCAGUGGGGAAUAUUGCACAAUGGGCGCAAGCCUGAUGCAGCCAUGCCGCGUGUAUGAAGAAGGCCUUAGGGUUGUAAAGUACUUUCAGCGGGGAGGAAGGGAGUAAAGUUAAUACCUUUGCUCAUUGACGUUACCCGCAGAAGAAGCACCGGCUAACUCCGUGCCAGCAGCCGCGGUAAUACGGAGGGUGCAAGCGUUAAUCGGAAUUACUGGGCGUAAAGCGCACGCAGGCGGUUUGUUAAGUCAGAUGUGAAAUCCCCGGGCUCAACCUGGGAACUGCAUCUGAUACUGGCAAGCUUGAGUCUCGUAGAGGGGGGUAGAAUUCCAGGUGUAGCGGUGAAAUGCGUAGAGAUCUGGAGGAAUACCGGUGGCGAAGGCGGCCCCCUGGACGAAGACUGACGCUCAGGUGCGAAAGCGUGGGGAGCAAACAGG
rnacentral:rRNA from 1 species